GACGAACGCUGGCGGCGCGCCUAACACAUGCAAGUCGAACGAGCGAGAGAGAGCUUGCUUUCUUGAGCGAGUGGCGAACGGGUGAGUAACGCGUGAGGAACCUGCCUCAAAGAGGGGGACAACAGUUGGAAACGACUGCUAAUACCGCAUAAGCCCACGGUGCCGCAUGGCACAGAGGGAAAAGGAGCAAUCCGCUUUGAGAUGGCCUCGCGUCCGAUUAGCUAGUUGGUGAGGUAACGGCCCACCAAGGCGACGAUCGGUAGCCGGACUGAGAGGUUGAACGGACACAUUGGGACUGAGACACGGCCCAGACUCCUACGGGAGGCAGCAGUGGGGAAUAUUGCAAAAUGGGGGAAACACUGAUGCAGCGACGCCGCGUGGAGGAAGAAGGUCUUCGGAUUGUAAACUCCUGUUGUUGGGGAAGAUAAUGACGGUACCCAACAAGGAAGUGACGGCUAACUACGUG
rnacentral:rRNA from 1 species